AUUGAACGCUGGCGGCAGGCCUAACACAUGCAAGUCGAGCGAACCUAGCUUGCUAGGAGAGCGGCGAACGGGUGAGUAACGCGUAGGAAUCUGCCUGGUAGUGGGGGACAACGUUCCGAAAGGAACGCUAAUACCGCAUACGCCCUACGGGGGAAAGCAGGGGAUCUUCGGACCUUGCGCUAUCAGAUGAGCCUGCGUCGGAUUAGCUAGUUGGUAGGGUAAAGGCCUACCAAGGCGACGAUCCGUAACUGGUCUGAGAGGAUGAUCAGUCACACCGGAACUGAGACACGGUCCUGACUCCUACGGGAGGCAGCAGUGGGGAAUAUUGGACAAUGGGGGCAACCCUGAUCCAGCCAUGCCGCGUGUGUGAAGAAGGCCUUCGGGUUGUAAAGCACUUUAGGUCGGGAGGAAGGUUCGCUGGCUAAUAUCCAGCGGAAUUGACGUUACCGACAGAAUAAGCACCGGCUAACUCCGUGCCAGCCGCCGCCGUAA
rnacentral:rRNA from 1 species